AAUCCUGUGGAAGUUCUACAAGGUCCUGAGCCAAACCACACUCAGGCAUCUGAGACGUCUGACAAAGAAAAGGAAAGUGAAAGUGAAACAGGAAGAAACCCACCUGAAUCAACACGAAGGUCAGAAAGGUUACGACAGCCCCCUGAUCGGUUUCACUACAUUCAGUUGGGCAAACCUUUAAUAUCUUUUGCACAGAGUAUUUUACACAGCUUUAACCAAGCACUAGACACUAUUUAUUAUGACAACCCCCAUAUGAACGAGAGACUAGCUCAUGAAGGGACUCAUGUCGAUUCAAGAGGGGAGGGUGUAACCCAUAUGGUUACUAAGCCCAUAUAUGUUGUUUGAAUGUAGUUCCCAUGCCCCACCACUAGUGGCGAACCAGCCCGUAUUAAUUUUUACUGUCAUUGAGCACGUCAUGCUCACGCCCAUAUACCGAGUCAUGCUCACUGCGGAUACACCGAUCCGAGAGCAGCACACCUGCUGAGUGAGCUGCCGGACCUAGAUUGGUUUUAUUUUCUGCCGGAUCAGGGAUUGAUCAGCACAAAUUCUGAACCUUUCGGUUCAGUGGCGAGCCAGGCGAUCGACAGGGACGGAGAACGGGAUCCACUCAGAGGACCACAGACUUCUACUCAUUGCACCCUGACACAGAUAAGAACGUUCACCACAAAAUCUACCCGGGUAGUAGGAGGAACUGAUAGAUAUAUACAUACACCAAACACAGAACUGAACUUUAUUCUUCUGAUACAGACGAAAAGACCACUUUUAUUUGAACUUUGUUUUAUUUAUUUUUUUUAUUUUUAUAAAAGAGCUCUAUUUUGUUUUUGGGGUUUUCCAUUCUAUGUGCUGCGAAAUAAUAUUGUUGGAUGCAAUAAAUGUUCACUGUUCAACUUUCAUUCAAGUCCAACUUUCUGAACCUAGAGAAUGUGGGUUCUUUCUAACAUUGAGGUUAAAAGUGCUACAUAUGGAUGAAGUGACAGAGGUGGUGAGUUUACUCCAGUCCAGCCAACCCAGCUGCUGAAAGCAGAGCAGUUCUGUUCCCAUCAAGUCCAUUAAGAGGAACAGCAAGAGUGAAUAGUGGAGGUGGGAAAAUGCAGAAUAUUACUUCAAACAGAGAGUAGCUGAAUACUUCACACAGAAAAUGAAAGUAUCUGUCAGUGACUAGAAACUAAAGAGAGGAGGAGAAAGUGGGAGCACAGAGAGAAAAGAGCAGAUUUUAUACAAAUCUCACUGGUGACUCGCCACUGACAAAGAAAAUCUCUUGACACUUGUGAGGACAGCGAGUAAGAACUGAGAGUGAUGUGAGAGAAACUUUCAAAUCCAACAGUGAGUCAGCAUGAUUAGUUCAAACUCCUUGAUUCUUGACUUCAGUGUUCACUCAGUGAAAGAUAUGAUUUUCUGGAUAAUACAGGAGUUGGUCGUCUGUAUAAAAACAGUGAAAGUGAAGGUGAUUCUUUAUUUUAACAAAUGUAUUCAGUUAAAGGAAAAAGGUCUUUAAGUUAUUAAGUCAUUGAAAUAACUUCAAAACAACUAUACUUCAUGAGCUUUACCCUUCAGUCAUAUCAAUGAAUAGACACUGGGCACUAGUGUGAAAUAUAGGAUUCAGUAUUUGGCUGAAUACAUU
rnacentral:lncRNA from 15 species